GACGAACGCUGGCGGCGUGCUUAACACAUGCAAGUCGAGCGGUAAGGCCCUUUCGGGGGUACACGAGCGGCGAACGGGUGAGUAACACGUGGGUGACCUGCCCUCAGCUCUGGGAUAAGCCUGGGAAACCGGGUCUAAUACUGGAUAUGACUCCAUGACGCAUGUUGUGGGGUGGAAAGCCUUGUGCGGCUGAGGAUGGGCCCGCGGCCUAUCAGCUUGUUGGUGGGGUGAGGCCUACCAAGGCGACGACGGGUAGCCGGCCUGAGAGGGCGACCGGCCACACUGGGACUGAGGCACGGCCCAGACUCCUACGGGAGGCAGCAGUGGGGAAUCUUGCGCAAUGGGCGAAAGCCUGACGCAGCGACGCCGCGUGAGGGAUGACGGCCU
rnacentral:rRNA from 1 species